rnacentral:rRNA from 1 species
GAAGGUGGCAAGCGUUGUUCGGAAUCACUGGGCUUAAAGCGCGCGUAGGCGGAAAUUUUAGUGUCAUGUGAAAUCCCUCGGCUUAACCGAGGAAUUGCGUGGCAAACUGGAUUUCUUGAGGCAAGUAGGGGUACAUGGAACUCUUGGUGGAGCGGUGGAAUGCGUAGAUAUCAAGAGGAACGCCAAAGGUGAAGACAGUGUACUGGGCUUGUACUGACGCUGAGGUGCGAAAGCGUGGGGAGCGAACGGGAUUAGAUACCCCGGUAGUCCACGCCGUAAACGAUGUCUACUAGGUUGUGGAGGUUCUGACACCCUCACAGUCGAAGCAAAAGUGUUAAGUAGACCGCCUGGGGAGUACGGUCGCAAGGCUA